CCUCUUUUUGGAGAUUCUCACGAAUGAGACAAGCUUCUUUACACAUUACCAUUUAAAUCAAGCUACCUUGAAUGGAGCUUUGGAUCUCCAGAUCUGUUUCCAUGGCAAAGGACUUGGUAAGUUCUCCGGUUUUGUUAAAAUUUUGUAGCAUGAUCUCACUGUGAGCAGACCCUUUUUUCUAGGGAUCCAUGUUAUGUUGCCUUCUGUAUUAGUGUGCUGCUGAUGUGUUCAAAAGACUGAAAAAAUCAACAGCCCAGUUUCAACUGUCAUAAGCUGGCUCUCUCAUCUUGCUCUUGUCCAAGCUAGUUACGCAAUUGCACGUUGCUUACUUGGUUUGGUGUUUAAAAGGUUUGACUACUACUCUCUUAUCCCAUACACUAGCAAAUCUUCAGGUUAAGGUGGAUUGGAAUUUGCUUGGGGCAUAGUGGCUGGGAGGCCUUAACCUUAUAGCUAUUAGCCGUGAAUAUAUCCUGUUCGAUUGUACUUGGACCUUAAACGUUUUAAUAGAUUUAUUCAGCAUGUUUGUCUGAUUUACCUCUUGACAGAUUAAGGAGCACUGCCAUCAGAAUAACACUUUGAAUUGAAAGGAAUCAACUUUUUAGUUGAGUGUGGCUUGGGUUACGUACUUAUGUUGGAUGGUAGCAUAAAAUGGGUGAAGAGAAAUAGAGAUAAAGUGUAGCAAGAAGAGUACCCUUCUGAAUCUUAUGUGGAUUUCUUAUGAUGUUUGUGAACAGUAAUGCUGAAUCAUAAAAUAUGCUUUAUCAGUGUCUUGGUUAGAGGUAGCUAAGAGAUUGCGAAGGGUGAGGGAGGAGGUAAGAAUGAUAUUGAAAUGGUCUCCUAGAGUGUAUCCCAAAACUGCUGUCUCUUGCUUUUCUGUAUCUGGGUUUUGUAUGAAACUCAUGAAAUUUAUUAGCAUAGGUGAUGGUUUACCUUGAUUAUCUGCUUUUUUCUCUUAAUGUGGUUCCUUUUUUUAUUUUGGAAACUUUUCAGGUAUGGCUUGGUCUUGGAAAAACAGUUCUCACAAAUAUAUCCAAAAUCCUAAGCUUGGCCAUAUCCAGGUUUUAGAGUACACUGGUCUUAUGUAACCCAAAGACAUGUUUCCCCUUUAAGUUAAAAACUUAUCUAAACGCAGUAAACAACUGUUUUCCAAGACUUCCCAAAACUCAACUUAUGCCAAAAAAACAUUCCAGGAACUCAACAAAAAACUAACUCAGAAUGUUUUAACAUUUGAAUGGAGAAAGCACAAUUCGGAGCCCUACAGCAAUCCGUCUUGUCAAGUUAGUGCCCUUGAAUGCUGUUUAGCAUCUCGUUUUUAGUUAUCAGCUCUGGAGCAUGUAGAAAGUGCAGUAAAUUUAUUGGUCCUAAAGAUACCGUAAUUGCCUAUGCUUAAUUAUCAGCUGGGGUCUAGGUUUAUUUGUAAUUGUUUCAAUACUUUCAGGCCUUCUCUAUUGGCCAUGACUUACCACUUAAUCCUGUUUAUGUUUCCCUACUUGUUAUUGUGAGAUCUUAAGUGAUUGAAUGCUUUGAUAAUAUAGGUCAAGUUCUGAGCCCUUGAUUAUUACUACUACUACUACUUCCUUUAUUGCUAGAUUUUCUUAAAUGACUGAAUGAUUAGAUAAUAUUACAGUAGUGUCCCGUUCUUCAAAAUAUCCAUCAUUUUAGAAGUGCAUGUGAAAGAAUGCAGACUACAUUAACACUUCCCGUGGUAUUACUCUGCAAUCACAUUACUAAAUGAUGGAGCUUCACUAUCAAGUUUUAAUAGUUGAAUAUUCUAUUGUAUCAUUAUUACUUCCUCCGUUUCAAAAAGAAUGGUCUAGUUUGACUUGGAAUGGAGUUUAAGAAAAGAAAGAAGACGUUUUAAUCUUGUGGUUCUAAAUUAAAGUUAUGUCAAAUGUACCAAAUGUCCUUAAUCUUGUGGCCUUAUACAUGCCACGUGGAAAGUUGAAGUUAAAGUGUUGCCAAAAAAGGAAAGGGAUCAUUCUUUUUGAAACAGACUAAGAAGGAAAUUAGGACAUUCUUUUCGAAAUGGAGGGAGUAGUUGCUAACCCUGAGAUUCAUUAUCCUGGAAAAAGAAAGUAUUUUGGACUUUUGAUGUUUUCUGGGAAUCAACCUUUUGUUUUCUAUGUAUUCACCUUCAGCCCUCUGGUGGAUACCAAAGCUUUUGGACGAAUGCAUGCUACAGAUGCCGAAUCUUUUGAUUUGCAUUCGUUUUACAGAGGGGUGUGUGAGAGCAUUGUGAUGAGACAUCAAUGAGAUUUCUUCUCUUUUAUUCUUUUUCUGUGGUUUGAACAUUGGACAUGGUAGCAUUUGGUUUAUCACCAUAAACGAUGCAGAUUUUGGCGUCCACCAAGCUCACAAGUCACAAAGACCAGGAAAUUGAGCUCUUCGUCAGUUUUCCUUUUCUUUUUACAUAGCAGAACUGUUUUAAGUGAUAGGUUACAUGCAAUUGUUGCAACUAUGCUGGCUACAUCAGUAAAGGGGAUAGCCAUAAUCCAUAGCAUAUACAAUCGACCUUCCAGUGGUGAUUUGCAGCACAACAGUGCCUGGCACUGCGCAUUAAAAAUUCUGUUAUUUAUGGUCCAUCUAAGAAAUAAUAUUGAUUUGAUUCUUUUUUCAGAUGUGAACUUGUGGAUGGGCCUGUUUGGAUAACAUUGCCUCCAAUUUAUUAGAGUUGUGUCUAUAUGGCCACCAAAACGGGUAUGAUCAGUUUCAUUCUUCUAGUAUUCUUUUGUUUCUGUAUUUCACACGUAAGCAAAGAAAGUAAGAAAAAAUGAGCUCUUCAUAGUUCUUUUUCUUUAUUUAGUGCCGAAUUUUCAUACAUCAUCAGGGCGAUGGUAUAUUUACAACUGAUAAUGUUGCCAUGAAAGUCCCCAUAUCUACCCAGGGGCUUGAGAAAUAUAAGUAACAUACAUCUCUUCACUCUUCAGAUACUCUUAUUUCUGCAGUGCAGCAUACCGUCUCAAUGGUGUGAUCUGUAGAGGAGGAUGGUGUUGAACCGUACAAAAUUCCUAAACAACUGUUGGCGUUUUACGCUUAAUGUGCCGAGAUGUCAACUCUGACUCCGUCCCUCCAAGCAUUUCCCACAUCACCUGUACAUCUUCAUAUCCACAGGACUGUAUAUCGCCUUGAAGCUUCAAUAAUCCAGCACCUGAUGUAAACAAAAGUAAGUAAUCCAUAAAGCUACUAUCUCUAUGUUUUUCACUCUGUUCCUUAAGACUGUCCAAAUUCUUUGCAUCCUAAGUGCCAAAAUUUAUGAAGUUACAAGUUUCUCUUCUACCCUAGCUUAGUGAUAACUUAUAUUCCUCCGUCCCAAUUUAUGUGACAAUAUCUAAAACAAACACAUCUUUAAAAAGUUAGAUUGUAGAAAAAACAGGGGGAGAGGCUUUGAAAAACUAGUGCAUCUAUAUUUAGCUUCUUCCUAUAUGUUCAUUAAAUCAAGAGUAAGAGAAACACCAAAUGCGAGUAAGUUUUUUUAUGACUAACCAUCUUUACGAGGCUUGACACGAGCAGAAACAGCACCCCAAACACGUCUAACCGGAAAGACCAUUUUUUGCCACAAAUCCUCCAUCUCCUCUCCUCUACUCCUAUGUUUGGUUGAAAAUGAAAGGGUUUAUAGUGCUCUUUGUUGCAAUAAAGAAUGUAAUGACUAGAGACUAAUAAAGGAGUGAUGUGUUCCUUCCACUCUUGAGUCUUGAUGUGGGGUUUCACAAAAGCAGAUGAAUUAGUGAUAUUGACACAUAUAUAUAUGGGAAAAUAGGGAUGUAUAUGUUUGAAUAUUCUAAUAACUCUAUAAAGUAUGCAGACAAAAUUUACCCCAAUUUAGAUUUGAUUUUUUUCACUAAAGAAAUAAAAAAUAUUCACCGACGCGACCGUCACAGUGCUUGUGUAAGAGAUAUUUUAGUGCCACGAGUCACUUGUGUUGUGGCUGCGCAGGAUUGUCUUAGUUAUUAUUUGGACCGUCAAAUACGUUUGAAAUAUUUUGAAUUGUUAUAGUUUCUAAAUAUUUCAAUUUUAUUUUGAAAAAAUAUUGACGAUACUUUUUAAUUGUCAUGGUUUUUUUUUUUUAGAGUCAAACUAUAAAAACUUUGACUAAUAUUUUACGAUGUAUUUUUUCAUUAUAUUGAUAUGCAAAAAAAUUGUAAUUUAUAGUAUUUUUCAUAUAAUUUUUUAAUAUCUAAAUUUUUUAUUUAAAAUUAAAUUAAUGUAAUCUAAUUUAACAUUGAAAUUAAUUAAAUUAACUUUUGAAAAAAGUAACAUAACAAAUAAAAAUGAAUGAAAAAAAUAUAUUUGAAUUAGUUUAAUUCUCGCGGAGACCAUCAUUUUGGGAUGGAGGGAGUAUUUUCUGCUAGUGCUCGUCUUUUGACUUCUUUUCAUUCAACACAUGUCAUGUUUUCAGUGGGAAAGAGAGAAGAAAAUGGCACCUUUAUAUUAUAAUUAUAAUUAGAAAAAUUGUGUGGUUUGGACGGUUUGACUCUUUAGAUUUUUGUGCCUCAAAUCGAGAGAACAUUAUUAGUGAGCCUUUUUCUGAAAGAACAUUAUUUACAUGCGUUAUUUAUCCCAAAUAUAGUGAAAUAAAUAUUAAGAUUUUUUUUUAUAGCAUUGGCAAUUUAAUUUUGUUAUAUUUGGUGUGAGUAGGUUUGGAGUUUGGGUCAGCUAAUCAGACCAAGAUUCCUAAUUCAAGAGAUGGAAAAGGAAAGGAGUGAUAAGAAGGUCCCAAUGAGAGAGAUAUUUUUGUGUAUUGAAGAAUACGUGGAGUCUUUUUGAGGCUCUAUUAUUAUUACAACUUUCCCGUACUGUCAGCAAUGGGGUCUACCUCCACGUUUUAAUCAAUUUUUUCGAUGGAUUUUAGUUUAUGCAUUUAGUAAUCGCUCGGCGUGAGAUAUAUGGUUUAAUAAUUUUAAAAUAUAAAAUAUAAAAUUAUUUUAUCUUGUGUUUGGUUGGAG
rnacentral:lncRNA from 1 species